rnacentral:lncRNA from 1 species
AGGAUUUGUGCUCGGAAAGUCCGUCAAUGGAACGGUCUGCUGACUCCGAAGGAUCUCUACUGGAUGUGGAUGAAACUUUGGAAAGAAGUAAGGAGGUUCUAGGAUCACCUUUCUACGAAGAAAAACUGCGUCAGCUGUCAACUGGCCAAUUAAUUAACAGAGCUUCUCGGUGAAAUGGAAUCCUUGGUCGGAGCGCUCAGCGAAACUUUAAUAGCUGAGUAUUAUUAUUAUUAAUAUUAGCUUACUUUUGUAAGUAUUUAUGAAUAUAGCCUCCAUGAAUAUUCAUUGUUGGUAUAUAAGGUCUGGCAACGUACCUACUUUC